AUAAUGCGUUUCCUCCGGUUUCCGGUGAUUGUGGUCUGUAAGUCCAAGUUCCAAUUGCCUGUUUUGAACUGUGAAAGGGUUGGUAGACUAGGAGGUGUUUGUAGCAUUCGGAUAGUUGCUUGAAUUUUGGUGGGAGUUUUCCCGCUAUCCCAAUCUGUUCCCAGGGUGAGAGCAUCUUUGGUUUGUGACUAUUUUCUGCCCUGUCUUUGUUCCUACGGUGUAAGAAGGAUUUGAGUUGGACGUAUGAAAAUUGCGAUGUGGGAGGUCAUAUUUGGAACGGAGUUUUGAGAAAUCCAUUACUUUGCCUGCUUCAAAGACAUGUGACAGGUGUGUGGCCCCCUUUACAUUUUAACUUUUUAAACAUUUUAACAGGUCACGUUACAUUUUAACACAGGACCCCUUAUUUGAUAGCAGCUUCACAAGUCUUGCAUCCAUUGAACUUGUGAGUUUUUGGACAGUUUCUG